UCGAGCGGUAAGGCCCUUCGGGGUACACGAGCGGCGAACGGGUGAGUAACACGUGGGUGACCUGCCCUCCACUCUGGGAUAAGCCUGGGAAACUGGGUCUAAUACCGGAUAUGACCACAUGUCGCAUGGUGUGUGGUGGAAAACUUUAUGUGGUGGGGGAUGGGCCCGCGGCCUAUCAGCUUGUUGGUGGGGUGAAGGCCUACCAAGGCGACGACGGGUAGCCGGCCUGAGAGGGCGAUCGGCCACACUGGGACUGAGACACGGCCCAGACUCCUACGGGAGGCAGCAGUGGGGAAUAUUGCACAAUGGGCGAAAGCCUGAUGCAGCGACGCCGCGUGAGGGAUGACGGCCUUCGGGUUGUAAACCUCUUUCGCCUACGACGAAGCGCAAGUGACGGUAGUAGGAGAAGAAGCACCGGCCAACUACGUGCCAGCAGCCGCGGUAAUACGUAGGGUGCGAGCGUUGUCCGGAAUUACUGGGCGUAAAGAGCUCGUAGGCGGUUCAUCGCGUCGACUGUGAAAUCCCAUGGCUCAACUGUGGGCGUGCAGUCGAUACGGGUGGACUUGAGUACUGCAGGGGAGACUGGAAUUCCUGGUGUAGCGGUGAAAUGCGCAGAUAUCAGGAGGAACACCGGUGGCGAAGGCGGGUCUCUGGGCAGUAACUGACGCUGAGGAGCGAAAGCGUGGGUAGCAAACAGGAUUAGAUACCCUGGUAGUCCACGCCGUAAACGGUGGGUGCUAGGUGUGGGUUUCCUUCCACGGGAUCCGUGCCGUANCUAACGCAUUAAGCA
rnacentral:rRNA from 1 species